rnacentral:rRNA from 1 species
GGCGGACGGGUGAGUAACGCGUAGGAAUCUACCUGGUAGUGGGGGACAACAUUCGGAAGCGGAUGCUAAUACCGCAUACGCCCUACGGGGGAAAGCAGGGGAUCUUCGGACCUUGCGCUAAUAGAUGAGCCUAAGUCAGAUUAGCUAGUUGGUGGGGUAAAGGCCCACCAAGGCGACGAUCUGUAACUGGUCUGAGAGGAUGAUCAGUCACACCGGAACUGAGACACGGUCCG